rnacentral:lncRNA from 1 species
GGCUGACCCUCUUUUGAAUCAUGAACGAGAUGGGGCUGGGAACAGUUAGAUCCCUGAGCAGCCAGGCAAAGGGGAGAAAUGCCAGUGCACAGAAAAUGUUUUCCACAGAGAAACAAUUGAAUCUAAGAGAGGAGGAGAUUUAUGUUUGCAGACCUGGAAAUACACCAUGAAAUGGAAGGGGGAAUAAAGGAGAGAUGGGACAUAACUAGAGUGCUUGCUUGGACAUGAGAGAAUCACCUAGGAGCAAUGUUUCCUUACAAUAGAGUGGUAUUAGAGAAAUGGGCUGUCCAUGUAUUCUGUUCUUUCAAGACUGAUCCAUGUGGUACCAUGAAAGUGCUAGCAGAUGUUUUGGGAAGAAAAUGUGUAGUUCACAUCUGCCUAUACACCAUCUUCUGUAACCUCACUUUGACGAAAUGGGGUUGGAUUGUGGACACUGUCGUCUCUCAUUUAACAGUGAGUAUAUGUUCGCAAAGAGGUAUUCUUUCCUACUAUGACUACAAAAUUUGGGUAAUUAAUAUGCACUGCGUACUGGGAUGUACUGAUGAACAGUGGGACCUCAUUCCUACAUUCAGAGUUUAA